CCUACGGGAGACUGCAGUGAGGAAUAUUGGUCAAUGGACGAGAGUCUGAACCAGCCAAGUAGCGUGAAGGAUGACUGCCCUAUGGGUUGUAAACUUCUUUUAUAUGGGAAUAAAACGUUCCACGUGUGGGAUUUUGUAUGUACCAUAUGAAUAAGGAUCGGCUAACUCCGUGCCAGCAGCCGCGGUAAUACGGAGGAUCCGAGCGUUAUCCGGAUUUAUUGGGUUUAAAGGGAGCGUAGGUGGAUUGUUAAGUCAGUUGUGAAAGUUUGCGGCUCAACCGUAAAAUUGCAGGUGAAACUGGCAGUCUUGAGUACAGUAGAGGUGGGCGGAAUUCGUGGUGUAGCGGUGAAAUGCUUAGAUAUCACGAAGAACUCCGAUUGCGAAGGCAGUUCACUGGACUGCAACUGACACUGAGGCUCGAAAGUGUGGGUAUCAAACAGGAUUAGAUACCCUAGUAGUC
rnacentral:rRNA from 1 species